rnacentral:lncRNA from 1 species
GGGGGGGGGGGGGGGGGGGGGGGGGGGGGGGGGUUUUUUUUUUUUUUUUUUUUUUUUUUUUUUUUAUUUCUUUCCCCUCCCUCCGUGCUGUUCUGCGUAAGCCACAGCAGCAGCUCGGUGUCUGCCCAGGGCAGUGUUAUGGGCUCGGCUCUUAUGUAGGUGAAGCUGGGAACGCUGUGAGGAUCAUGUGGAGCUCUCAGUCUCCUGAGCCUGGAGCUUUGAGCCUAUUUAUAGGUUUUCUGUGACUGUUCCGUGUCCUGCUGCUGCUGCUGCCAAUGUGGAUGCGAAUGCUGUGGCUACAAAGGCUUCUUACUGUCUCAUGCUGGGUCCCUCAAAUCCAAGAGCUACUUGGCAGUUUCCAAGGCAACCACCUGUGGAAUAAUUAAAAAGGAUGGAGUGUUAGCGUGCCAGAUAUAAGGAAUUCUUGCCUGGAGAGAGCGUUUCACUUUCGUCUUGAAGAAUCAAACGUGCUUCUGCCAGCAAAGUUAAGGUAGUACAAUUAAAAAGUAAUGGUUUAUUUUCUGGAAGUUUGAGGUGGAGCAACAAGCCUGAUACGACUGUCCGCUGUACAGAAAUGACCAUGGUUCCUUCUGGGUUAAUAUUUUAGGUAGAUUUAAGUGGAAAAUGCACAAGGAAGGUGGUGAUGGAAAGGCAGUGUGGGUGAUCAGUAUGUUGCAUUAGUAAAACAGUUGCAUGGACUGUUUUGCACUUUGUGCCGUCUUUCCCUUGGAUGAUUUUAAGCUGGGAAGGACUAAAAUGGAGCAUACAUUAGUUGGAGCAUAAAUAUAGGAAGUGCAGCCUUCAUGCCAAGUACACUGAGAUUUCUUUGGCAUUCACUGAAGGGAUAGAUAUAAAAGGAAUCUAGGAGUGGGCUCACUGCAAAAUGACAGUCGGAAUCAAGGGUUGAUCUUUAUCCCAGAGCUUAAAGGGUGGGCAGUGACUAAUUCCGUGCUGAACCAAACUGAUAAUCAUGUUUAGCUGCUUUGGUGAAGCAGCUGCUAAAACCGUUUUGAAGUCACAGAUUCCCAGAUUCAGAGCUGAAAUUUCACAGUGGGGAAAAAACAAAUACUAAGCAAAAGAAGCCUGUUAGAAUAACAAAAAGUGGCAAAUUUGGUUCUGAAAGUUCGAAACGUUUCUUCAGAAGUUGAUGGCAGAGGUGUUAGACUCAGAUAACUGGAAAAGUUAUUCUCCAAGUAUUGUAUGUUGCUGGAUGUAUUUGCUCAUUAUAUCUUCCUUCUCUGCCAGUCAUUCAAAUAUAGCUGAAUAGAAGAAUAUUACUCAUUUCUGACAAUGGAGUUAAGUGGAGAAAAACCACGUUCCCAUUCUUCCCAUAGUCCAAAUAACUGCUCAGUUAAGUCUGGUUACCUUGCCUGAUGGUCUUGUACAGUUAAUUUUAGGCGUGAUGCUUUUGUGUAUUUUAAGGAAAAAAGAAAGUCCUAAAUU